AAGGAAUAUAAAUGGCUUGUCCUGAGAAAUGAGUGCUAUGGCUGCCUGGACUAUAAGCCCUAGAAGUAAAAACCUAUGGAAAGCUACACCACUACACCGAGCGGCAACAAGAGCAAGCAAAAUCCACUUAAGGUUUUAGUAUCUGUGAUUACUUUGUGUGUUCUCUACCUCCAGCGCUCUGCAGCCUCGUUCUCCUCUCCCGGCCUAGCUUUUAGGAAGGGAAGGAUCCAGGAGAGCCAUCUAGUGAGAAGAGCAUUACCACUAAAACUGUAGUGCGUUGGAGCGUCAGAGAAAGAUCUUAAGGACUGUGUCCAGGCCAGUUUACUCUCUUUGUCCUCUGGGAAAAUUGCUCCAGCAGAGGACCUGACAGGAGAAUGCGGAGACCGUUGUUUGCACCACUUUACAGAUUUGUGUAAGACUAUUUGGGGACUUUAAGGACUCCAGCGGGAGGAGAAGAGGCCAAGAACCUCCCGCAGUGGAUGCAGGUGCGAUUCUGGGAAGGCAGCUGCAACUUUUCUCUUUUUAUUUCUUACAGAUUUGUGUGACCAAAGGGGCAUCACCGGCCUCCUGGUUUCUGGGCAGAUAAAAAGUGGAAAACCCGGAAGGUUUUCACACUUCUGGCUUCCCGGAAACACGGGAGGAAAUCAAGGGCAGCACUCGCCCGAGCAUGGCUCUGCAUUAGACUGACGACCUUGGACUGAAACUGCCCUGUGUCCAAACAAGGGCGAAGACAUGAUCAGCCCUCUGGUUAUUUUCACCCAUGUGAAGAGGCACUUGGCAUCUUGGAUUCACACCAGCCCUGGCCAUGGGAAGAAGCCGUGUGUUGAUUGAAGCAGUCUGAGACCGGUGAUUUGGAGAAGUAGAAAAACAAACUAGGUGCCCUGACCAGACCCACCCGUAGCUCCAUAUGCUGUUUUCCUGCCACUCAGCGUCUGAUGGAUGAGAGAAGGUGGCUCCUGAGGAGAGGAAGGUGGGGGGGGGGGGGGGACGGGGACUGCAGGUGCUCCAAAUUAGGAAUAAUUCUGCAGAUUAGCCUAAUGAAGUCAAAAAGUUAAUUUGUAGCUGCCAGCUGUUGAGCAGUAAGUUACAAAGUGCCACAGCCCCUCUACAGCUCAGCGCAGGGAAUGCAAAAAGGCAAAGGGAGUAACUGAGAGGACUUGGAAGAAACACCUGCUAAGGCGUCAUCUGGGAGGAGCUCCGCAGUCGCCAGGUGGCCUCAUGGACAAAGAGAUCAUAGAAAUAAUGACUGUUGGUGACCUGGGCUUGUGUAGGGGUGGGGGGUGGGGUGCGGGGUGGGGUGCGGGGCACUGCUGUCCUUGCUUAGAGCACCGGAACUGAUUCCUAGCUUAGAAAACAGUUGUCAAUUGGUGUGAAGCUUGUAGAUUCCUUUAGCACAAGGAUAGCAGGGUUCAGAAUAAUAGUUCUCCCCUCUCCCCUGACAAUUUACACUUGGUACACUCACUCUCCGUCAUCCCUGUUCCUCCUCCCAAUCUGUAAAUUUAACUAGCUCAUCUGGGAAGAGAUAAAAGCAAAUUGUGGUUUGCCACACUGGAAGGAGAUUACCUUCCUCCCCAGCACAGUGGUGGGUCCUGGGUACUGUGAGCUCUUAGGGGCAGCGUGGUUGCUCAUCUCUGUGUAAGUCUUACUGAAGGCCAUUCUGCACGCGGCUGUUAUGUAUCUAGCUUUUUACUCUUAAAAAAAAAAAAGGCUGGAAGAAUGAGAAGACAGCAAGCUGCACUGUGCUUCAGGACGCGCACAAGAGAAACUACAGGAUGUAACCGCUCUUUCCUUGGGAAGGGUCGCUAUAAACCCACAGAUAAUGCGGACACUGCAUUCAAUAGACCUCGACGAUGCAGCUUGCGUUCAUGGGGCCUGCUCGUGUCUGUCCUUCCAAACAUUCAGACAGUUUCAAGUGCGGGGAAAUAAAACCAAAACCCAUAGAUCUAAAUAAAUAUCUACUGAAUGAAUUAAAAGCUGCUCUCUAGAUAGGCGCUCUCAUCACCAACCCUACUUUCCCAUUAUCCUUCCCUCAGACACAGAAAGCUGUUCACAGCCUGUAUUGGAGCACUUAAUCAUCCCCAAAUUUCUUUAAUUGCCUUCUCUCCUUCUCGGCCCUGAACACUCCUCCUAAAACUGUUGCAGCUAACUCAAAUGCUUAUUUAACUGGCCGACUGACUGGCUCUGGACCCGACUUUGGCUCUUAACCUCAGUAGAGAAAAAUGCUUCCAUUAGAGACUGGUCAUAUGGGGGAAAAAAGCCCCUUGAUUGUUGGAAAGUUAUGUAAUGUUGUGGUUGUAAACUUGGGUCUUAAUAUCCAGCUGGUGAUUGAAUCUGUAAUCAGAGACUCUAUCGAGUGAUUUAGGGACUCAGUAAAUGAAUUGUUGACGCCU
rnacentral:lncRNA from 1 species